rnacentral:lncRNA from 1 species
GGCCAGAGAGCCACGGGCAAGGGGCUGAGCUGAGGGGGGUUCCAGUGCCAGUUGCUUAAAAAUGCCCCUGUAGCACCAAGAGGUGCCAGACCCAAGUGAACUUAGUUGAGAAGCAAUAACACCCACAACCACACCCCAAAUAGACUGGGCCUCCACCUCCGAAGAUUCAUCCCUGGACCAGACACCAGUCAAGGCAAGAGUGAUGGCUGGUAGGAUUCCUCCUACACUGGAGAAGAGCCCCAGAGAGGAACCUUCCUGAGAAGCCGAAAAGGGACAGCAACAGCCGCCCAGCUCCCAGAACUCGUCCCCUCCUCUCACCCCUCCCGGGAGCUUCCCAACGGACAGAAGGGAGAGAUCCCCUUGCCUGGAGACAUCUUCUGAAGACAUGGGAAAAGGAGACGAGGCGGGCUACUCCCUGGCAGCAGGCCUUCAAGCUGUUGACAACCAGUACCAAGAAGAGUGCCAGGUAAGAUCUGGAGUCCACCUGGUUCAGCCACCGCUUUAACAGAAUGGAGAACGGGAGAUGAAGGGGCCCAGUGAGAAAUAUCCCUGCUCUCUGGAGAUAGAGCUUGGCUCUCUAAGCCUCUCUCAUCUUCGAAACGGCAGCUCAGGGAGGGCGAAGGAGCCUUUCUUGGGGUGAAUGAAAGGCUUCUUCAAAUACUUCUUCUCAGGGAGGCUACAUUUGAGGGAGCCAGGGGUCCGGACAAGCUCUGCCUACCAGCCCAGGACGUGUAUGUUCAUGGGCCCAGAGAAAAAA